AUUGAACGCUGGCGGCAGGCCUAACACAUGCAAGUCGAGCGGAUGAAGGGAGCUUGCUCCUGGAUUCAGCGGCGGACGGGUGAGUAAUGCCUAGGAAUCUGCCUGGUAGUGGGGGAUAACGUCCGGAAACGGGCGCUAAUACCGCAUACGUCCUGAGGGAGAAAGUGGGGGAUCUUCGGACCUCGCGCUAUCAGAUGAGCCUAGGUCGGAUUAGCUAGUUGGUGGGGUAAAGGCCUACCAAGGCGACGAUCCGUAACUGGUCUGAGAGGAUGAUCAGUCACACUGGGACUGAGACACGGUCCAGACUCCUACGGGAGGCAGCAGUGGGGAAUAUUGGACAAUGGGCGAAAGCCUGAUCCAGCCAUGCCGCGUGUGUGAAGAAGGUCUUCGGAUUGUAAAGCACUUUAAGUUGGGAGGAAGGGCAGUAAGUUAAUACCUUGCUGUUUUGACGUUACCAACAGAAUAAGCACCGGCUAACUUCGUG
rnacentral:rRNA from 1 species